rnacentral:sRNA from 1 species
UUCGGUACUAUCGUAGAAAAAGUGUAUUAUCAGUCG